UGGGGAAUAUUGGACAAUGGGCGAAAGCCUGAUCCAGCCAUGCCGCGUGUGUGAAGAAGGUCUUCGGAUUGUAAAGCACUUUAAGUUGGGAGGAAGGGCAUUAACCUAAUACGUUAGUGUUUUGACGUUACCGACAGAAUAAGCACCGGAUAACUCUGUGCAAGCAGCCGCGGCAAUACAGAGGGUGCAAGCGUUAAUCGGAAUUACUGGGCGUAAAGCGCGCGUAGGUGGUUUGUUAAGUUGGAUGUGAAAUCCCCGGGCUCAACCUGGGAACUGCAUUCAAAACUGACUGACUAGAGUAUGGUAGAGGGUGGUGGAAUUUCCUGUGUAGCGGUGAAAUGCGUAGAUAUAGGAAGGAACACCAGUGGCGAAGGCGACCACCUGGACUAAUACUGACACUGAGGUGCGAAAGCGUGGGGAGCAAACA
rnacentral:rRNA from 1 species